UAUAAAAACGAAACUUUAAUUUUUAUUAAAGGGAUCCGAAAUUAUUAUUAUCUCUAAGGGGUCUGGCAGAGAAAAAGUUUGGAAAACGCUGCUAUAGUUUUUAUGUGAAGCGAAUACAUUUUUACCAAGUAAGGUAAAUGUUAUGUAUCUUUUUGAAUGUGUUACUUUCAUAUCUACAAUGAAUAAGGUACCUAUUCAUUAUUUAUAAGUAAAUCCUAAAUAGUAAUAUUAUCAAAUAAAAAAUGCAGCUAAUUUAUUUACAAUUAAAUGCAGGCCUAAAAAAUUAUAAUGAAAUAAUUACUUUAAAUAUUACAACACACAUAAUAAGUAAUAAAUAAUAAUUCUGUAUAACAUCAUAUUAACUACCUACAAUCUACAUAUAUGGUUACCAUUGCUACUAAUAAAAAAUAAUAUCUAAGUCUGUUUUAAAUUAGCUACCUACCUGUCACCAAACUUUUUAAGAUUUAAAUUGUUCAUGUUCGAGGUUUUUGUUAUUUUAAUUAGAAGUCAAUUUGAAAAAUACAUUUAAUAAUUUAAUUUGGGACGCAGUGUUCGUGUUACCUUUACUUAAUGGAUCGAUUUUAAAAGGAUUUUUUAAGUGAUAUAAAAAGUAAUUUUAUCCGAAAUAAAUUAAUAACACAUUCAUCAUAGUACAAUUAUUGCAAAAAUAUUCUUUAUUAUACCUACAUAACCGGUAGCUGAAAAUGUAAGUUUUAUAAACAGAUUUUUUGAACAACUUCCUGUGGUCAUUGAUUAUUUUGAUUUAUUUUGAUUAAUGGAAAAAACUGAUUUGAAAUUGAAUUGCGUGACCAUAAAACGAACGGACUACGUUUAUGUAUUAUGUGUCGUUUUAUACCUGUUCACCAGUUUGACAGCAAUGCCAUAUUUGAUCUACCCACACAAAAGUGACGUCAUUAUCCUUAUAUUCGUAGGUAUUUGUGUUAACAUAUGUGUAAGACAGCGCGCGACGUUGUGUAAAAACAAAAUGUUAAAAACAACACUAUGUUUGUAUGUUAAUACAUCAAUACUUAAGCUUAUAACUUAAAGAUUCGAACUUGACCUAGUACAAACUAAAAUAAAAAAAACCAAACUAGCUACUUAACAGAACGCCGCUAUACUUCAAGGUUCAAUUUUUUUUUUUUUUUUUGGACGAGUGUCUGACAGUUGAAGAAAAUACUGAAUUUUUAAUGAUCAGUGGCGAUGGCUGGACUUGAUGGACUGAUGUGGGUGAACGAUGAACAUAUUUGAGGAUUGAUGCUUUCCCUUGAGUCUAUUAUUAUAGUUUGUGACAAUAAGUUUUUAUAUUUAUUAUACGGUUGAAAUAGUUGAUAGUUUAUACAAG